UAAAAAAUUGAAAUGUUUUAAUUUAAUAAAGAACAAUUAUCUUAUACACCGUCUAUGAAGUUUUUAAAAUUCCACAAACAAAUUGAAGAUACUACAUGUGUCUUGUAAGGUGUAGUGGGCCAAAUUUGCCCGGCCCGAAUAAAAACAAUAAAUGAUAUAAAAAUCUAGAUAUCAAUAGUCCAUUAUUUACAACCCAAAAUCAAACCAAAUUAACCCCAAUGUUUCAAGACCCAAAUUACAAAUCCAUUUACAAAAUGACAUAGCCCAAUACCCCAAACGGCCCAGAAACUGAGCCCCAUUUUGGCAAACCCUAGGGCAAGGGUCUCCUUGUGCCGCAGCCCUCACUAGCAGCCAAACCACAUUGCGCCAGACAACGCCUCCAACAGCACCAGCGCACAGCCCUCGUACGCCACGCCCGUACCUCCGUACGAUGCCAGCAGACUCCGUACCUGCGAAAAAGACACACAGAACAGCAGCGAAUAGGGAAGAAGAAAAUAGCAUUUUCAUUUUUUGAUUUUUCUUUCUUUUCGGCUAUAAAGGCCAUGUAAUAGCCUAGGUGAGUUUUUUACGCAACAUAAACGCACAAUAGGCCAUACAGACACAAUCAAUACAUUUUGAAAUACAAAAAAGCAACGAGCAUUCGAAGGUGAUUCCGAUUCAUAAUUUCUGAGAUUUUUUCCUUUUCUUCUUGGCUUAGUUUCAUUCUCCCUGGAAUUUCUUUUUGUUCUUUCGCAUUUUGGGUUGUAUAAAAGAGAGAGGAAAUGAAAUCUUACCCCGUGAAUACGCCGUGAGAUAUCCUCUGAUUCGUUGAAAUCGGGGUCCGAGAGGAGUAUAAGGCGGAAAGAAAACCAUCUUGAGGCUCGAACAGGCCGAUCUCCAUUCAUUGCGGUGGAUUGGCAUGGCAGAUGGAGGGUCAAGGUUCGUUUGAGGGGAGUAAAAAUGGAGGCUAGGGUUUGGAGGUGCUGGCUUAAUCUGCUGAUUGAGCCAUUUUAUAGGACCUCAAACUGUGUCGCAUUGACAUCAAAGCCCGACCCGAUUCGAUUCCAAACCCGAUGACCCGCGUGUUUUUGCGGUGAGGGACUAUUUGCACAUUAAAUCCCUCCCUUUUGCGCCACGUUUAAAUCAAUCCAUAUUUUUAUUCCAUUUCUUUUAAUUUAGGCUUGUAUUUUGAGCUCAUUUGCAAUGGGGUCCGCACAUGUACACAGCGUUUUGGGAGUCUGGAAUAAUUUCAGUUUUGAUCCUUGCAUAUUCGUAUACAUUAUGCGCUGGCCCUUAUCUGUAUUUACAAAUUAUCCUUCCAUUUUAACGUGGUUUCAAUUAGACCCUCUCUUUUAUGUGAUUUCAAUUAUUUUUUUUAGAUUCACCUCAUGUUUUAUUUUAUUUUACUUGUGUUCAUUUACUCGUGUUCAUCGUCUAACUUGCAUCAUUUACUUAUUGUAAUUUGGGUAACUAUGCUUUCAUAUUUUGCGUAUUACCUCAUGUAAUUGUUUUCUUUAUAUACGCUAUUGUACAUAUAUAUUUGUACUUUACAUUAAAGUCAAUUUCAUUUCAUAUAUAUAUACAUUGUUAACCUUAUGUUAUUUUAUACAUGUGUUGUCUUAAAUUUAUUAUUGUAGUUUAUUACAUGGUCCUAUAUAAUAUAUUUUCUCAAUUAUUAUUAUAUACAUAUAUGUUUAUAGAUAUCUAUACUUGAUAUCUAUAUAUAUAUUAUUAAAUCUAUGUAUUUUAUGCAUGUAGUUUUUCUCUUUUUUCAUAUAUGUAAGUAUAUUCUUCAAUUCAUUAUAUAAUUUAUAAUAAAAUCAGUUUUAGCUUGCAUAUAUUUCUAUGUUUUUUACAAAUAAUUAUUUUUUAAAAAAAGGGGGGUUAUUUAUAUAUAUAUAAUUUGUAGAUCCAUUGCAUUUUUGAAGAUUAUAUCGUACUAUAUAUUUUUAUUAUUACCGUUUUUAAUAUAUUUUACACAUACUUUAAAUUAUUAUUCUAUACAUCCUCGUUUUUUUUUUAAAAAUCAAUAUUAUUCUACGUUUUGGUAUGAUUUUCGAUUUAAACAUUCAUUUUAUAAUAUUUUUUAAAAUGAUUAAGCGUAUAUCCCUAGUUUUUCCUUUUUUACAAAUAAAUUUUAAAUGCACCAAUUCAUUAAUUUGCAUGUCAUAAAGAUUUUUGGUUCAUUAGAUCGCAUUUGUUCCGACAUCGUCUUAUACCACUUUGACUUCUAAAUUCUAUUUUGUUUUGCAUACGCUCUUUUGGUUGCUUUAUAUAUGUACAUUCCUUGCGUGGCAUCCACCUUAUUGAACUGUUAAUUACUCAUCAUAUAUGAUUGAAAUUAGGCUAUAAUUCCUAGAUUAAUUAUAUUUAAUUGCUUGUUCUGCUAGUUGAUUCAUUAAGUAUUGUAUCUCGUAUGUGUAUAUUACCUCAUUCAUCGUUUUCCAUUUGAUUUUCGAAAUGCGGUUUUAUAAAAUCCAAAUUUUAUGAUUAAUCUCGUACUAUUUCAAAUUGAAUUAAUACGUCUUAAGCUAGCUCUAUAAUCAUUCAUUCAAAAAUUCUUUAAAAACGAAGGCAAGAUUCGAUGUUUGGCAAUUCGUGGAAUCGUGCCCUAACGUGUUGGGUUGCGAUUUCGCGUUUGCUCAAAAUAAUCGAAUAUCACUUCGAAAUUUCACUCACGCCUUUUAAAAUUCCUCAAAACGAAGACGAGGUUUGAUAUUUAGCAAUUCGCAGAAUCGUGCCCUAACGUGUUGGGUUGCAAUUUUGCGUUUGUUCAAAAUAAUCGGGCUUCCCUUCAAAAUUCCAUUCAUAUCUCCUAAAAUUUUUUAAAUGAAGGCAAUGUUCGACGUUUGAUAAUUUGAGAAUCAUGCUCUAUCGCGUUGGGUUGUGGUUCCUGGUUUGCUCAAAAUGAUCGAACAUUCCUUUACAUUCUCACUCAUGUUUAUAAAAAAAAUACUUAAAAACGAAAACGAUGUUCAAUGUUUGGCGAUUUGAGAAUCGUGCCCUAUCGUGCUGGGUUGCGCUUUUUCAUUGGUCUGAAACAAUUGAAGAUCCCUUCAGAAUUUCCCUCGCACUUUCUAAAAUCUUUUAAAAUAAAGGCGAUGUUCGAUGUUUGGCGAUUUGAGAAUCGAGCCCUAUCAUGCUGGGUUGCGCUUUCUCAUUUGCCCAAAAUAAUCGAAUAUCUCCUCGAAAUUUUCACACGUAUUUUAUAAAGUAAGGCAAUGGUCAAUAUUUAGAAAUUCGAAGAAUCGUACCCUACUGUGCUGGGUUUCGAUUUUUCGUUGGACUAAAUAGUUGAGCAUCAUUCUGUAAUUCUCAAAUUAUAUACCUUCGGGCAUCGAAACAAGAAAUUUUGGCAACCAAGUCGGAUCACUCAAACGUUAUAAAAGGAACCACAUUUCAAAAAACUUUUAAUUUUAGACAUAAGGACAGUAUUUAAUUGACUUGGUACCAAUUUUGGGCGUAGUGAGGGUGCUAAUCCUUCCUCAUGCGUAACCGACUCCCGAACCUGUUUUCUCAAAAGUUCGUAGACCAAAAUUAUUGUUUUAAUAAACCAAAAAUGUUUAUUUAAACUAACCUCAUUUUUAGGUGAUUCGAUCACACCAAAAUAAAAGAUCGGUGGCGACUCCAUAUUUUCAUUUUCCAAAAAGUCGAUUCCACCAUUUUUCAUUAAAAUAAUUUUUUUUUAAAAUCGUGGGAUGGUUUCGACAGCUUGGCGACUCCGGUGGGGAUUUGAACUUGAGAGUCGAGCCAUAAAAAUCGAUUAUUUACUGUCCUUUUGUUAAAAAACCGAAAAUUUAUUUUAAAAAUCAUGUAUAUUUCGAUUGCAUUUGAUUGUAUGUUUGUGCGGGCCUUGUAGAAUAGCACUGCAUUUCAUUGCAUGACCACUGUGGUUACACCUUCUAAGUGGAAGUAAGAAGCUACGCUUUCGUGAGGUUUUCACCUCCGCAUGGGCUAGUGGAUUGCUUCCGGGGUACAUCCGUACCUAUGAUUUCGUGAGAUUUUCAUCUCUGCAUGGUCAUAGGGAAAUGUAUCCCCUCGAACCGAACUCGAUCUAUAUGAGCUUAUAAUGGGUGAGGAUUGAGGAAUCUGCUGGUUCGGGUACCCAUUUUCCUAGAACUAAACCACAUAUAGUGAACCUUAGGAGCUAUCCUUGGGUGGAGCCGCGUCGAACCUUAGUACUUACCCGUACAUGCGUUAUAAUCACCGUUUAUGUGCUUGCAUUCUAUUGCUAUUAUUUGAUACUAACCGAUGUUUUGUUUUGAUUGUCUUUUUUGCAUGACAUUGCAUAUUAAAGGAGGCGUUAAUCUACAUUCAAUUACUAAGUUAGAAAAUUUGACAUGGAGAAUGAAUUUUUUAGUAAAGUCGAGGAUAAUGCGGCCGUUCGUGCUUGGUCGGAGAGGCUACAAUCUGAGAGAGGGGAUAGCUUGGCAGAAGGGUAUGUGUCGGAGCUGUAGGAUUUCACUCGCGUCAAUGUAGUACAGAAUAAGCUGCAAUAGUUGAGAGACAUUUGGGUUAGUUGGGAUGAAAGGAUCAAGCAGUUGUUUUACCAAAGUUAUGGUGACAUAUCCUACCUGCUAGACAUUAAAGUGGAUAAGCAUUUGUUCCGAGCCUUGGUGCAGUUUUGGAAUUCCGCAUAUAAGUGUUUUACCUUUGGAGAAGUGGAUUUGGUACCUACCAUGGAGGAAUAUACUACGCUGCUUAGAUGUCCAAAGAUUCAGGUCUGGAAGACUUAUGCCCGGGUUUUUAGUAAUCAGGCUUUCGUGAAGAAACUGAUGAGCAUUUCUGGGAUGAGCGAGUCUUGGGUCACUGCUCGGAUUCAGCAGAAAGGAGAUAGCAAAUGUGUCCCUUGGGAGAAUUUGCGAGAUUUGAUCUUGACUCAUCUAGACGAAAGAAAGAGGGUCGAUAUAUUUGCCUUAAGCAUCUACGGAUUAGUGAUCUUUCCUACGGCUUUGAGGCACGUGGACGAGGCGGUCAUUGACUUGUUUGAUCGUCUUGAAAAGGGAAUCACACCGGUACCGGCAAUAUUGGCAGAAACGUUCAGAUCUUUGAGCUUAUGUCAGAAGACGGGUGAGGGGCGAUUUAUUGGAUGUGCUCAACUAUUGAUGGUAUGGUUUCAUGGGAACUUUUGGAAGGUAGACAAGGUUUCCUAUCGAGUCUUUUCCAAAGGUUAUUCCCCUUUGAAAGAAGAGGUAGCUAUACAGAGGAGAAAGGAUAUCUCAGAAGAGAAGUGGAUGGAUAUUUUUCAGAACCUUAAGGAGGAGGAUAUCGAGUGGAGUGCUUAUUGGAUGGUUCCUGAUGAGAUCAUGUACCAAUGUGGUAACUUUGAUUGGGUGCCAUUGUUAGGAAUUUGGGGAGCUACCGGGUAUACUCCGUUGAUAGCCUUGAGGCAAUACAAGUCGAGGCAGUUUGUACCCACGACCUAUGGACUUGCUCAGAGUGAAUUCUCGUUUAAAGGUGCUCACUAUUAAAAGAGAGUUCGGGAGUUAUCGGAUGCUUGGAAGCAAACUUGUUAGAUGAAGAGGUUAGCCGUCGGUUCUAUGGUAACGCCCGAGUACAGCAAGUGGUUUAAGAAGAGGAUUAAUGAUAAUAUUCCUAGGCCAAGCUUAGAGAAUGCUCGGCCUAUCGGGGAACAAUUACAAGUCGCCCCAUCAGAAUUGGAGAUUAUAAAACAAGAUUUCGAGAAGAAGAGUUUGGAGUUUGGUAAGAAGAUCGAACAAUUAGAGGAAGAGAAGAUGCACCUAAGAUUAGAGGCUGAUGUCCAAAGGUCAGAGGCUGAGAAGUGGAGAAAAGGAAAAACUAAGGCUGAAGAAGAUCUAGACAGUUUGAAAAUGGACUACAAAAAGUUACGCCUAUCUAUGAGGAUUGCGGGUUUAGGUAAGACUUCCGAACAAUGGCGCCAUGAAAUUCGGGAAGAAAAAACCAAUACCGACCGGUGGGAAAGGAAAUUUCGAGAAACUCAAGCACGAAACGAAGAUUUGGAGAAAAGUCUAUCAGAAAGCAGAAAUGAGCAAGGGGAAUUAAGGGCUAGAGUGGCAGAACUCGAGAAGUCCCUACAUCAGUACCGAAACCGCAACACCGUGACAGAAUUGAGGGCAAGCUUGAGCAAAAUACAAGAAAUGAAAGGAAGAAUAGAAGAGUUAGAGGCGUCACUGCAAAAUUGUGAUAUGCGAAUCCAGUUUUUUGAGGCAAACGAGGAUCGUUGGAAGGAGCAACUUCACCAUGCGCAAGGCCAAGUUAGAAAUAGGGAUUACCUUAUGGGAGAGGCCAUAACCCAGAUCCGGGAGGUAGCGGACUACUUGCAAACUCUAGCGGUUCAGGCAGACACACUAAGCGUGAAAUAUGAGUUAGAGUCGGAGCGCGAACAAGAGCUGGCCUCAUUGCUUAGAAAAAUUAGGACUUUGAGCGUUAGAGCAAAAUUAUAUUUGUAACUCGACUUUAUGUAAAAGAUUUUAUUUUCAAGUAAAAUUUUCUAAGGGCUGUUGAAUCAAAAUUGAUGCCUCCUUUACAUUCAUGCAUUUGCAUUACAUCAUAUCAUUAUGCAUUAAAGGCCAUUAGAGUUUUCUAAUUAAUUAACUAAAAAUUAUUUCAAUAACCUGGAAACCAAUGAAAACCAACCACGCACCCCUACAGUACAAGGAAAAAAUCAAUGGAUAAGAGACUCGAGAAAUUAGAGCGGAUGCAAAAAGACAUGCAAGAACAAAUACAGUCUCAGAUGCAAGAGCAGCUAGCCAAGAUUCAGUGAGAGAUGAAAGAGCAAAUGAUGGAGUCCCAGAGGGAAAUGAUGAGUCAGUUAUCCCAAUUGUUGUUGGGAGGAACGGAUAAGGGAAAGGGCCCCAUGGACAAAGUUGAAGAAGCUAAUGAGGAUCCUCAAUACCCCCUGGCUUCACUCUGACACAUGUACCGGUGAAGCUCGAGAUUAAUCUACCGAAGCCAUCUGUCACGAUCAUACCCCAGCAGGUUCAGGCUGGAGCUUCAAUACUGAUGAAUUUCCAAACCGGCUUAGGCUCCAACUUUGUCAACAACCCGAACUAUCCGCCCAUUCCCGAUUUGGAUGAAAUUGCUGAAGAAGAAAAGGCGAGGAUGGAUUCGCAAAAACAAUUGGAAAAACGGUGUAGAUGGCUCGAAGAGAAAUUUAAAGCCAUGGAAAGCGCGGAUCAUCAUCAAGGGAUUAAUGCCAAGGACCUAAGUUUAGUCCCAGAUUUAGUCCUUCCCCCCAAAUUCAAAAUGCCCAAGUUCGAGAAAUACAAUGGAACAAGUUGCCCUGAAGCUCAUAUCAUUAUGUUCUGCAGGCGAAUGACGGGAUAUGUUAACAAUGACCAGCUAUUAAUCCACUACUUUCAAGAUAGUUUGGUCGGGGCGGCGUCUAAGUAGUACAACCAAUUAAGCCGCUCUAAGAUUAACUUGUGGAAGGACCUGGCCCAAGCCUUUAUGAAGCAAUACAAUCACGUGACAGACAUGACCCCUGACAGAAUCACUCUCCAGAAUAUGGAGAAGAAAUCGAAUGAAAGCUUCAGGCAGUACGUAUAAAGAUGGAGGGAGGUGGCCAUACAAGUUCAGCCGCCACUUCUAGAAAAGGAGAUAACGAUACUCUUUAUAAAUACCUUGAAGGCCCCUUUUAUCACUCAUAUGUUGGGAAGCGCCACCAAGAGCUUCUCCGACAUAGUGAUGAUGGGAGAAAUGAUCGAAAAUGCUGUAAAGAGCGGCAAGAUAGAAUCGAGAGAGAGUGCUAGGAAGUUAGCCCCGAGGAGAAAAGACAAUGAAGUGAACAACACGAGCACAUUCAACAAGGGGCAGCCCAAGUCAAUUACCGUAAAUCAACCCAAAAUGGUGACUACCAAUCAACAAAGUUCUGUAAGGCAAGAAUCCAAUGCGAGGAAGAACAUAGAAAGGCCACAAUACACCCCUAUACCCAUGUCCUAUAGAGAGUUGUACCAGAACCUGUUCAACGCUCAUGUGGUAUCCCCUUUCUACCUGGAGCCACUGCAGUCCCCGUAUUCCAAAUAGUAUGACGCGAAUGCCCAAUGUGAGUACCACGCGGGAAUCACCGGGCACUCAAUCGAAAAUUGCACUGCGUUUAAGAAAGUGGUCGAAAGACUCAUUAAGGUGGGAAUCAUGAGAUUUGAUGACCCAGCCACGCCCAAUUUAGCAGGAAACCCACUCCCUAAUCAUACCGACCAAGGAGUGAAUGGGAUAAGUGAAGGCUUGAACAAGAAGACCAAGUAUGAGGUGGCAGAAAUCAGGACCUCGUUGAAGCGGGUAUGGAAAGAGAUGACUAAGAGAGGAUUGAUAGCAUUGGAUCCAAGGGAAGAACCCGAAGAAGAGAGAAACUACUGUGAGUUUCAUGACGAGGUGGGGCAUGAAAUCCAAGAAUGUGUGGAAUUCAUGGCCCUCGUGCAGAACAUGAUAGAUAACAAAGAAAUGGAAUUCUAUGAAGAAGCUAAAAGCCUCAUAGAGGGAAAUGUAUGCGCAUCCGAGGGAGAAUCAAAGGCGUAGAAUCAAAUGCCUAAUUAUCCCGUGGUGAUCAUUUCGAGACCCAAAAAUAAUGAAGCUGGAGUAAAAAUGCCAUCGAGGGUCAUAAUCCAAAGACCUGCAGUCUUCCCUUACAAAAACAGUAAAAAGGUCCCAUGAAAUUAUGAUUGCAGUGUGACGAUGCCGGGAAAAGAGAGCCCGGUUAGCGCUUCAAUAAGGGAUCAAGAUAGAGGUUCCUAUACACAUAGCGGGAGGCGUUACGAUACAAUGAAUGAGGAGGAACAGCCCACAAAAGAAAAAGCCCAGGUGGUCAAGGAAAUGAAGGAAAAAGCAACCAAACUUGUUAAUGAGCCAGUUAACGAAGACGAGGCCAAGGAAUUUUUAAAAUUCCUAAAGCACAGCGAAUACAGUGUGGUAGAACAGCUACGUAAACAACCAGCUCGCAUUUCAGUGCUGGCCUUGCUUCUAAGCUCGGAAGUUCAUCGUAGCGCACUAAUGAAGGUCUUAAACGAGACAUAUGUUGCCAAUGAUAUCUCCGUUAACAAGCUGGACCGGUUGGUGAGCAACAUAAGUGCCGACAAUUUUAUCUUCUUUAAUGACGACGAGAUACCACCUGGGGGCAUGGGGUCGACUAAAGCUCUGCAUAUCACCACACGCUGUAAAGGGUACACGCUACUAGGUGUACUGAUUGACAAUGGAUCAGCUUUGAACGUCCUGCCAUUGACCACGCUGAACAGAUUACCUAUAGACAGCUCUCACAUGAAGGAGUGCCAGAACAUCGUGAAGGCAUUCGAUGGCACGGAAAGAAAGGUGAUGGGCAGAAUCGAGGUACCUCUCUAGAUUAGGCCAAACACAUAUGAGGUGGAUUUUCUCGUGAUGGAUAUCAAGCCCUCAUACAAUUGCUUGUUGGGGAGGCUCUGGAUACAUUUAGCUGGGGCAGUACCUUCCCCGUUGCAUCAAAAAUUGAAGCUGGUGUCGGAGGGGAGGUUGAUAACGAUUAAGGCUGAAGAAGAUAUUAUUGCAACUGUGAGCAAUAAUGCACCCUAUUUGGAGACAUAUGACGAAGCAAUCGAAUGCUCAUUUCGAUCUUUGGAAUUUGUUAACGCGACGUUCAUCACCGAGGGAAGCAAAAUUUUGGUGCCGAAAUUGUCCAAAACCACGAGGAUGAGCCUCGAGUUGACGAUUGGAAAAGGGGCCCUACCCGGAAAGGGACUUGGGAGACAUCUACAAGGAAGGAUCGAAACGCCAAUGCUGAAAGAAAAGAGAGACCGCUUCGGCUUAGGAUUUAAGCCGGAUGUGAAACAAAGGAGAAGGGAGCCAGAAAAGAAGCAAGAAAGAAGGAGAGCUCGAUUAAUGGGGGAGCAAAUCAAGUGGGAACCAAUGACAUUCCCCCAUAUAUUGAAAACAUUUGUAUCCAGGGGAAUCAUUCAUCCUGAGAGAGACACGCCAAUGAUGGGAGCUAUAAAAGAAAGUCUGGAAAGUUUGGACAUCAACGUCAUGUACGAAAAGGAGACUGGAAGGGAAAAUUUGUCGGGCAUUUGCCCCUACACGCCUGGAAGUGUUCUGGACAACUAGAUUGCGGAAGAGAUCCUUGUAGUUUUUAGAACGGAUUCAGAGUAAUGUCCAAAACACACUUAUUGCUCUAGGCCUAGGAGUGAUAAGAAUCUUUUGUGAAAUAGGCUGAUGUUUAAAAACGAUAUUUCAAUAAAAUGCACAGUUAUUAUCAUUUUUGAGCAAAUGUUCUCUCGUCCUCUUAAUUUCAUUCAUAACCAUACAAAUGAUUACUUUCGGAUUCUUUUAUUCUUGAAACAUUCUUCUAAGUAUUCUUUCAUUCGUCAUUCAUAAUCAUAUCACGCAAAUAAAUGUUUCGAAUUCUUUUGAUUCUUUGUAUCUGCCUUCGUCCUUAUAACAGGUUCCCAAAUAUUAAUGAUACGAGUGACACUGCUAGCGACUCAGAAUUUCCUUUCGAGCAAGAUGUAUGUAUGGAUGAUUCUUAGGAUUUUGAAGAUGACCAAGGCUGUAACCUAUCUCUUGAUUUGUUGAAGAUGGAGGAACAAGACGAGAAAUAAAUCCUACCUCACAAAGAAUUAAUCGAAAUUGUGAGCUUAGGAGAAGGACAAGAGGUAAAGAUCGGAAUAAGUAUCACUGCGAAAAUGAAGCGAGACCUCAUUGAAUUACUUUAAGAAUUCAAAGGUGUCUUCGCAUGGUCAUACCAAGAUAUGCCCGGGUUGGACACUGACAUCGUGGUGCAUCGACUUCCCAUAAAAGAAUAGUGUAAGCCAGUUUAGCAAAAACUCCGAAGAAUGAGGCCCGAUGUCUUGCUAAAAAUAAAGGAAGAGGUUCGAAAGCAGUUUGACGUUGGAUUUCUGAAGGUGGUAAAAUACUCAGAUUGGGUAGCCAACAUCAUCCCUGUCCCUAAGAAAGAUGGAAAAGUGCUAAUGUGUGUAGACUACAGAGAUUUGAAUAAAGCCAGCCCAAAAGACAAUUUCCCACUGCCUCAUAUCGACACCCUAGUGGACAACAUGGCGGGACAUUCACUGUUUUCAUUCAUGGAUGAUUUUUUGGGAUACAACCAGAUCAAGAUGCAUCCUGAAGAUAUGAAGAAGACCAUAUUUGUAACCAUGUAGGGCACGUUCUGUUACAAGGUGAUGCCGUUUGGAUUGAAGAAUGCGGGGACAACUUAUCAAAGAGCUAUGGUAACCUUUUUUCACGACAUGAUGCAUAAAGAAAUCGAGGUUUAUGUCGAUGACAUGAUCGUAAAGUCUCGAACAGAGAAGGAGCACAUACAAGUCUUGAGGAAAUUGUUCUUGAGGUUGAGGAAGUUCCAGCUAAAACUCAACCCAGCCAAAUGUACCUUCGGAGCUAAAUCCGGAAAGUUGCUCGGAUUCGUGGUUAGUGAGAAAGGGAUUGAGAUCGAUCUAGACAAAGUUAAAGCCAUACAAGAGUUAUCCUCGCCGCGCACUAAAAAAGAAGUUCGAGGCUUUCUAGGAAGAUUAAAUUACAUUGCUCGGUUCAUUUCACAACUGACCGAGAAAUGUGGCCCUGUCUUUCGCCUCCUCAAGAAACAUAACCCAGGUGAAUGGGAUGAAGAAUGCCAAAGGGCUUUCGACAAGGUUAAACAGUACUUAUCCAACGCCCCGGUGCUGAUGCCACCUAACCCCGAUAAGCCGUUGAUACUGUAUUUGGCAGUAUUCGAGAACUCUAUGAGAUGCAUGCUGGCUCAGCAUGAUGAGUCAGGAAGGAAAGAAAAAGCUAUUUACUAUCUCAGUAAAAAGUUUACGGAAUGUGAGACAAUGUACCCGUCGAUAGAGAAGUUGUGUUGUGCCCUAAUAUGGACAACCCGCAGGCUGAGGCAAUAUAUGUUGUAUCACACCACUUGGCUCAUAUCAAAGUUGGACCCUUUAAAGUACAUGAUGGAGUCAACAACCUUAAAUGGAAGGAUGGCCCGAUGACAGAUUCUGCUUUCUAAAUUCAACAUAGUCUAUGUGAACCAAAAAGUAAUAAAAGGAAGUGCGAUAGCAGAUUUUCUAGCCAGUAGAGCUUUGGAAGACUACGAGCCUUUGAACUUCGACUUUCCGAAUGAAGACCUAAUGUGUAUUGCUACGACUGAAGAAGGUGCUCUGGAAGAACUUCUUUGGAAACUGAACUUCGAUGGGGCAUCAAAUGCUGUGGGCAAUGGAAUCGGGGCCGUCUUGGUAUCCCCAAAACGAGAUCAUUACCCAUUCACUAGUAAAUUGGAUUUUGAUUGUACAAAAAAUAUGGUGGAAUAUGAAGCGUGCAUCAUGGGUAUCCGUGCAGCCAUAGAACGUAAGAUUAAAGUGCGAGAGGUGUAUGGAGAUUCUGCGCUAGUGAUUUAUCAACUCAAGGGAGAAUGGGAGACUAGAGACCUCAAGUUAAUCGAUUAUCGGAAGCUGGUCCUUGAGUUGAUUAAAGAGUUUGAUGACAUUACCUUCCACUACCUUCCACGAGACAAAAAUCAGAUGGCUGACGCUUUGGCUACCUUAGCCUCCAUGAUCAAGGUGAACAAACAAGAAGAUGUCAAACCCAUCCGAAUGAACAUUUAUGAAAUUCCGGCCCAUUCUUACAAUAUUGAAAAAGAUGAAGAGAAAGAUGAUCACCCUUGGUAUCACGAUAUAUUGCAAUAUGUGAAGAAUCGUGAGUACCCGGACCAGGCAAGCGAGAAUGAAAAAAGAACGCUAAGAAGAUUGGCCAUCGACUACGUCUUAGAUGGGGAUAUAUUAUACAAAAGAAGAAAGGAUCAAGUGCUACUAAGAUGUGUAGACGCUGUAGAGGCUAGGAAAAUCUUGGAAGAAGUCCAUGAAGGCGUCUGUGGGACACAUGCUAAUGGCUUUACAAUGGCCAGGCAAAUUAUGAGAUUCGGGUACUAUUGGUCCACCAUGGAAGGAGACUGUGUCAAUUACGCUAAGAGAUGUCAUAAGUGUCAAAUCUACGGAGACAAAAUUCUUGUGCCUCCUUCACCGUUGCAUGUCAUGGUUUCUUCAUGGCCAUUCUCUAUGUGGGGCAUGGAUGUGAUUAGACCAAUAUCGCCGAAAGCUACCAAUGGGCAUCGAUUCAUCUUCGUGGUUAUCGACUACUUCACCAAGUGGGUAGAAACUGCUUCGUAUGCUAGUGUGACCAAGUCGGCAGUGAGCAAGUUUCUGAAAAAGGAUAUUAUAUGUCGAUAUGGAAUGCCGGAGAGGAUUAUAUCCGACAAUGCAUUAAACUUGAACAAUAGUACGAUAGCAGAAGUCUGCAGUCAAUUCAAGAACAGACAUCACAACUCGUCACCAUAUCGCCCAAAGAUGAAUGGGGCAGUGGAAGCGGCCAAUACAAACAUUAAGAAAAUUGUGGGGAAGAUGACCAAAACCUACAGAGACUGGCAUGAGAAGUUACCAUUUGCCCUCUUCGCUUAUCGAACGUCAGUCAAAACCUCAACUGGGGCAGCCCCUUUUUCUUUGGUCUACGGAAUGGAAGCGGUGUUGCCGAUCGAGGUCGAGAUCCCGUCCCUUCGAGUGUUGUUGGAGUUAAAUUUGGAAGAAGCCGAGUGGAUCCAAUCUCGAUAUGAUCAAUUGAACCUAACGAGGAAAAAAGGUUAAAAGCUAUUCGUCAUGGUCAGAUGUACCAAAAAUGAAUGAUGCAGGCUUAUGAUAAAAAGGUUCGUCCUAGAGAAUUCCACGAGGGAGACCUGGUUUUGAAAAAGAUUCUUCCCAUACAGAAAUAUUUUCGGGGAAAAUGGAUGCCUAAUUGGGAAGGGCCUUACGUAGUGAAGAAAGCUUUCACUGGAGUAGCAUUGAUUCUAGCCGAGAUGGACGAUAGAAACUUGCCCAAUCCUGUAAACUCGGACUCGGUCAAGAAGUAUUUUACCUGAAGAAAGAGAGGCCUGAGUGAAAACCCACAAAGGGUGCUCUGAAAUCCAAAAAAAAACCCGGAGAGGCCAAGGUGAAAACCCACAAAGGGUAUUUUGGAACCAAAGGGGCUUUUGAGUUGAAAACCCAAAAACGGGCAGCUCAAAUUUUGAAUAUGGGGCAUAUGGCGGUCUUGUCCUUCCAAAAUCAACAAGACAGAAGAACAUUACACCUUGGAGCAUCAACAAAAUACGCGGGAUCUCCUGAACACACAUUUGGUUCGAAUGAACCUUUGAGAAAUUAGAAUAGUGAAACUCGUGCUGCGAUAUCUGGGGCAUCUUUUUCUCAUUUUUCGCACCUUACCAGAUUCAUUAUCCUAUGUAUUCACAUCAAAAUUUGCUUAAUAAAAUGACAUUUGUCCAUUAUGAUAAUCUCUUUCGAGCAGUUUUGUCGAAAUCGCGAUUUUUGAACAUGUAAUAUCUACAUAAAAGAUGUUAUGCAUAUUACUCUGGAAAAGUCUCUAAAUAGUACAAGGACCUGAAACAGGGCCACUAGUCAGAACUAACCAGGUUCAAAGUUGGAAAAUAUUGGAAAAAGAGAAAUCCAAAUUAGGACUAUUUCUUCAAAUUUUCUGGCAGAGAUAACGGCUAAGUAAGAAAACGUGAUAGCACAUCAAUGAUGGAACCCGGACGAAUCAUGAGCAAUGAUACCUUAAACGUUUGAAGAGGAAUUAUUCUCAUAGCACUUCUACAUUCAUAAUCAUUCAUUUAGUUAGGAGCACUUGAUUCAUUUCGAUCAUAGCAUUCUAAUUAUCUGACAUAAACACCACAUCUAGUUAGGGACAUUUGAUUCAUCUCGAUCAUAGUAUCCUAAUUACUUGAUACAGGAAACCAAUUCUACAAAUCAUGUCUUUGGAAGACAGUGUAGUGACAUUGGCGAAUCCUACAGAUCCUGCUUCCCUGAAGUUGCAGUGGAGCAGAUCGAAGACGACAAAUCUUGACUUCCUGAAGUUGCAGUGAAGUAGAUUUAAGUCACUAACCUAGCUCCCUAAAGUUGUAGUGGAGUAGGUUGAGAUUUUAGAUCCUACUUCCCUGAAGUUACAGUGGAGCAGAUCAAAAACGACGAAUCCUGACUUCCUGAAGUUGCAGUGAAGCAGAUUUAAGUCACUAACCUUGUUCCCUAAAGUUGUAGUGGAGUAGGUUAAAAUUUUAGAUCUCGUUUCCCUGAAGUUGCAGUGGAGUAAAUCAAAGACAACGAAUCUUGACUUCCUGAAGUUGCAGCAAAGCAGAUUUAAGUCACUAACCUAGCUCCCUAAAGUUGUAGUGGAGUAGGUUGAAAUUUUCGAUCUCGUUUCCCUGAAGUUGCAGUGGAGCAGAUCGAAGACGGCGAAUCUGAGCUUCUUGAAGUUGCAGUGAAGCAGAUUUAAGCCACUAACCUAGCUCCCUAGAGUUGUAGUAGAGUAGGUUGAAAUUUUAGAUCUCGUUUCCCUGAAGUUGCAGUGGAGCAGAUCGAAGACGGCGAAUCUGAGCUUCCUGAAGUUGCAGUGAAGUAGAUUUAAGCCACCAACCCAGCUCCCUAAAGUUGUAGUGGAGUAGGUUGAAAUUUUAGAUUUUGUUUCCCUGAAGUUGCAGUGAAACAGAUCGAAGACGGUGAAUCUUGACUUCUUGAAAUUGCAAUGAAGUAGAUUUAAGCCACCAUCCUAGCUCCCUAAAGUUGUAGCGGAGUAGGUUGAAGAUUGUAGAUCUUGUCUCCCUGAAGUUGCAGUGGAGCAUAUUGAAGCUACUUGAAGAAAAAAAGUACCAAGAAGUCGAGGCUCAGCAGGUCCUGGCAAAUUUGGCCCAUUUAUAGUCUUUACUUUAUUCUCGUUACACGACAAUAUGCAAAGAAGGGCAGCUGUAGUGGGCCAAAUUUGCCCGGUCCGAAUAAAAAUAAUAAAUGAUAUAAAAAUCUAGAUAUCAAUAGUCCAUUAUCUGUCCAAUUACAACCCAAAAUCAAACCAAAUUAACCCUAAUGUUUCAAGACACAAAUUACAAGUCCAUUUACAAAAUGACAUAGCCCAAUACCCCAAACGGCCCAGAAACUGAGCCCCAUUUUGGCAAACCCUAGGGCAAGGGUCUCCUUGUGCCGCAGCCCUCACUAGUGGCCAAACCACAUUGCGCCAGACAACGCCUCCAACAGCACCAGUGCACAGCCCUCGUACGCCACGCCCGUACCUCCGUACGAUGCAGGCAGACUCCGUACCUGCGAAAAAGGCACAUAGAACAGCAGCGAAUGGGGAAGAAGAAAAUAGCAUUUUCAUUUUUUGAUUUUUCUUUCUUUUCGACUAUAAAGGCCAUGUAAUAGCCUAGGUGAGUUUUUUACGCAACAUAAACGCACAAUAGGCCAUACAGACACAAUCAAUACAUUUUGAAAUACAAAAAAGCAACGAGCAUUCGAAGGUGAUUCCGAUUCAUAAUUUCUGAGAUUUUUUCCUUUUCUUCUUGGCUUAGUUUCAUUCUCCCUGGAAUUUCUUUUUAUUCUUUCGCAUUUUGGGUUGUAUAAAAGAGAGAGGAAAUGAAAUCUUACCCCGUGAAUACGCUGUG
rnacentral:lncRNA from 1 species